rnacentral:rRNA from 1 species
GAUGAACGCUGGCGGCGUGCCUAAUACAUGCAAGUCGAGCGAACAGACGAGGAGCUUGCUCCUCUGACGUUAGCGGCGGACGGGUGAGUAACACGUGGAUAACCUACCUAUAAGACUGGGAUAACUUCGGGAAACCGGAGCUAAUACCGGAUAAUUUAUUGAACCGCAUGGUUCAAUAGUAAAAGACGGUUUUGCUGUCACUUUUAGAUGGAUCCGCGCCGCAUUAGCUAGUUGGUAAGGUAACGGCUUACCAAGGCAACGAUGCGUAGCCGACCUGAGAGGGUGAUCGGCCACACUGGAACUGAGACACGGUCCAGACUCCUACGGGAGGCAGCAGUAGGGAAUCUUCCGCAAUGGGCGAAAGCCUGACGGAGCAACGCCGCGUGAGUGAUGAAGGUCUUCGGAUCGUAAAACUCUGUUAUUAGGGAAGAACAAAUGUGUAAGUAACUAUGCACGUCUUGACGGUACCUAAUCAGAAAGCCACGGCUAACUACGUG